rnacentral:rRNA from 1 species
GACGAACGCUGGCGGCGUGCUUAACACAUGCAAGUCGAACGGUGAAGCGAGUGCUUGCACUCGUGGAUCAGUGGCGAACGGGUGAGUAACACGUGAGUAACCUGCCCAUCACUCUGGGAUAAGCACUGGAAACGGUGUCUAAUACUGGAUACGACCAACCCUUGCAUGGGGUGUUGGUGGAAAGAUUUAUCGGUGAUGGAUGGACUCGCGGCCUAUCAGCUUGUUGGCGGGGUAAUGGCCCACCAAGGCGACGACGGGUAGCCGGCCUGAGAGGGUGACCGGCCACACUGGGACUGAGACACGGCCCAGACUCCUACGGGAGGCAGCAGUGGGGAAUAUUGCACAAUGGGCGAAAGCCUGAUGAAGCGACGCCGCGUGAGGGAUGACGGCCUUCGGGUUGUAAACCUCUUUCAGCAGGGAAGAAGCGAAAGUGACGGUACCUGCAGAAGAAGCACCGGCUAACUACGUG